AAUGGGGGAAACCCUGACGCAGCGACGCCGCGUGGAGGAUGAAGGCCUUCGGGUUGUAAACUCCUUUGUAGGGGAAGAUGAUGACGGUACCCUGCGAAUAAGCCACGGCUAACUCUGUGCCAGCAGCCGCGGUAAGACAGAGGUGGCGAGCGUUGUUCGGAAUUACUGGGCUUAAAGGGCGAGUAGGCGGUGGAGCAAGUCUGAGGUGGAAUCCUACGGCUUAACCGUAGAACUGCCUUGGAAACUGUUUUACUUGAGUCAGUGAGGGGAGGGCGGAAUUCCUGGUGUAGCGGUGAAAUGCGUAGAUAUCAGGAGGAAGGCCUGUGGCGAAAGUGGCCCUCUGGCACUGUACUGACGCUGAGGCGCGAAAGCGUGGGGAGCAAACAGGAUUAGAUACCCUGGUAGUCCACGCCCUAAACGGUGGGCAUUAGGUGUAGGGCUCGUAAGGGUUCUGUGCCGAAGGGAAACCAUUAAAUGCCCCGCCUGGGGAGUACGGCCGCAAGGUUG
rnacentral:rRNA from 1 species